rnacentral:misc_RNA from 1 species
UUGAUAGAUAUGGAAACAGAAUAAUUUUGAUGCAGAAUAUUGAGGACAGUAUCAGUAUUGAGAGACAGCUGUUAGCUGUGCUGGAUCUUAUUUGUAAACGCUGUAGGUUUAGCUCAGUAAGGCAAGGUGUUCACACCAGAUGUACUCUACUUAAAUCAAACUUUAACAUCUGGUUUUGAUUAAGAAUCAAUAAAACGUGUAUUAAACUUAGAGCAAUAUGUUUAAACACCAGAGAUCAUCUCAUUUCUGUGCAGAAUAAAGAGUAAUAUCC